AAGCCAUGCAUGUGUAGGCGAGCAUUUUGUGGAGCGGCGGAAGGCUCAGUAACGGGCGUCUAUUUGAUCUUCUGAGACGGACAACCUCUGUAACCGGAGGCCAAUACGUCGGAGACACGGUUACCGGUGGUGGUGUGUCAAAAGCGGUUGCGCGGAAGAGUAAGGAGCCAUCCCAUCAGUUAGUAAGUAGGGUAAGGGCCUACUUAGACGAAGACGGGUACGGGGAAUUGUGGUUUGAUUCCGGAGAGGGAGCCUGAGAGACGGCUACCAGGUCCAAGGACAGCAGCAGGCGCGAAAAUUACCGAAGCCUCCGGUGAGGGCGGUAGUAAGGAGACGUGGAAACGAUGAGGAGGUAAAGAAUGCUCUGGUAACAGGAGGUCAAGACUGGUGCCAGCAUCCGCGGUAAUACCAGCUCCUGGAGUGUCUAUGAUGAUUGCUGCAGUUAAAGAGUUCGUAGUCGGGCUGCGUGACUGGCGUGAAAGGCCUUCUUUCAAGGGGGGCAGAGCGCUAGGAAAGCAGAGGAUAAGGAGCGUUUUGGGGCCAGGUUAUUAAGCGACGAGAGGUGAAAUUUGAUGACUCGCUUAGGAGGAACAGAGGCGAAAGCGCUGGCCAGGGGCGAAUCCGAUGAUAAAGGACGUAGGCUAGAGGAUCGAAGACGAUUAGAGACCGUUGUAGUUCUAGCAGUAAACGAUGCCGAUGCCGUGGUGCGUGCGCGCGACGCGGAGGAGAAAUUGAGUAGGGCCCUGGGGAGAGUACACGCGCAAGCGAGAAAUUUAAAGGAAAUUGACGGAAGAACACCACAAGGAGUGGAGUGUGCGGCUUAAUUUGACUCAACGCGGGACAGCUUACCAGGCCCGACGACCGCAGGAGUGUUGUACACGAUAGGUCGAAGAGUGGUGCAUGGCCGUUAACGACAAGUGGGGUGACCUUUGGGUUAAGUCCGGGAAGUAGUGAGACCCCUGCUGUUUUUUUUUUUGGACAGGACAGGUGCUCAAAGCACAGGAAGGAAGGGUCAAGAACAGGUCAGUGAUGCCCUUAGAUGGUCUGGGCUGCACGCGCACUACAGUGGUCACAGAAAGGAUUUUCGAGAGAUAAUGGUGAUCGAGAGGGAAUGAGCUUUGCAAGAGGCUCAGGAACGAGGAAUUGCUAGUAAUCGCGGGCUCAUUAAGACGCGAUGAAUACGUCCCUGUUCUUUGUACACACCGCCCGUCGUUAUCGAAGAUGGAGUCAGGCGCGAACAAGCGAGAGCGAGUGAGUGCAGGAUUCUAGAUGUGAUACAAGUCGUAACAAGGUAGCUGUAGGAGAACCUGUAGCUGGAUCAGAGCGAUGGUAGAGAUUUGGUUUUGAUGAGUAUGCCCUGCGCAAGGGAUCUUUUGGCUCGCUGUGCGAGGAAGGGCGCAGCUGCGGGCGAAAUGUGCCGGAGCGGCAGCGGUGAUGGCACGUGCCCGAAGAUGCGCGAGCAGGCAGACCCCUUUGAAUUAAGCAUAUGAGUAGAGGGAGGAAAAGAAACUAACAAGGAUUCCCGCAGUAGCGGCGAGCGAAGAGGGAAGAGCCCGGAGUGCAAUCGCAGCGAUGCGAGAUGUCAGGAGUGCGCGGAACCGUUCUGGAAAGACGGGCCGGAGAGGGUGAGAGCCCCGUGGACGCGUGCGUUGGUGUUGGAGUAGCGGUGCUUGGUAGUGCACCGUGAAUGGGUGGCAGCGUGCAUCCAAGGCUAAAUACUGCAGCGAGACCGAUAGUGGAUAAGUAGAGUGAUCGAAGAAGGAAUAGUUUGAAAAGGUGAAAUUGCGCAGGGAGCCGAGCGGCUCGGCCCCGUCUUGAAACACGGACCAAGGAGUGCAAGUACGCGGCGAGUCGGGGGCGGUGAGUGCCCUGGGCGGAGCGAAGGCGAGGGAGCCGCGUGCCUGCGACCCGAUAGACUUGUGAACUAUGCCUGGAGGCUGCGAAGGCUGACGAAAGACAGCUGGAGGCAGUAAGCCGUUCUGAUGUGCAAAUCGAUGGCGAGAGCUGGGCAUAGGGGCGAAAGACCAAACGAACAGUCUGGUAGCUGGUUCCCCCCGAAAUGUGUAUAAGGACAGCACGCGAGCAGAGAGAGGCUAGGUAGAGCAAAGGUCGCUUAACGCGAGUGGCGAACGAACUGCGAAUGAGCCUGGCGGGCCGUGCGUGAAGACGGGCCGCGGACUUGAGCGAGCGUAGUGGGCGAGUUCUGGUAAGCAGGACUGGCGAAGAGGAAUGAACCUAGCGGGACGAUAAGGCACCCAACAUUGUGGCAGAGACGUGAAGGGUGUAGGUGAAUGAAGACGAUAGGGCGGUGGCCAUGGAAGUCGGCAUCCGGUAAGAAACGUGUUGCAACGUACCUAUGGAAUUCAGCUGCUCCGAAAAUUGACGGUGCUUACGCGAUGGCCGAUGCGUCUCUUGAGGUAGGGGGGCGUGCAGGUGCUGGAGAAGGUGUGCCGCGAGGCACGGUGGAGGCGCCUGCAGCGCAGAUCUUGGUGGUAGUAGUGAGAAUUCGUCUGGGAGGGCGAAGACCGAGGAGGAGAAGGUUUUCCUUACGAUGGACAACAGUGAGGAGUGAGCCGGUUCUGAGCGACGGUGUGGAUGCCAGAGCGACAGAGAAGCAGGAGGGCUUUCCUGCGCCGCGGUGCUGUGCGGCAACGCGCUGUGUCUGUUGACGGGUCUGGUUGUGCGGGGCAGAGCAUCCUUCUCUGCAGAGGUGUGAGCGUGCCCGGAGAUGGGUCAGCCAGCGGACGGCACGUGCAGCGUCAGGCCGACGUGUCGGCACCCGCAGACAGCAGGCCCCCGUGAAAAGGCAGAUGCGGCGGCACCGCGACCGUACCGAUAACCGCGACAGGUCUCCGAGGUGAGUAGCCUCUGGUUGAUGUUUAACGCAGGUAAGGGAAGUCGGCAAAAUGGAUGCGUAACUUCGGGAGAAGUAUUGGUUCUUACGGAACUGUUGGUGGCACGGGGAAUCUGACUGUUUAAUAGAAACAUAGCUUCGUGAAGGAGAGACGAAGUGAGUUCUGCCCGGUGCUCGAAGAGUGAAGGGCCGGAGACGGCUGUAAGCACGGGUCAACGGCGGGAGUAACUAUGACUCUCUUAAGGUAGCCAAACGCCUCGUCACUUAAAUGGUGACGCGCAUGAAUGGAAUGACGAGAUUCCCACUGUCCCUACCUGCAGACUAGCGAACCCACGGGCCAGGGGAACGGGCCUGGCACAGUCAGCGGGGAAAGAAGACCCUGUUGAGCUUGACUCUAGUGUGGCAGAGCGGUGGGGACAGUUGCGAUGUAGGAAGGUGGGAGCUUCGGCACAAGUGAAAGACCACUGCGCAACAGUCCCCAUUGGACACCCCUGCGGGGAUGGCUGCCAGAUGGGGAGUUUGGCUGGGGCGGCACGGCUGCAGCAACAGAACGCAGCCGUCCGAAGGCACUUGCAGCGAGACGAGAACACCCGCGUGGAGCAUAAGGGCUUUAGAGUGCUUGAGCACAGGCUGGGCGGCCUGUGUGCGGGGAAACCCAGGCCUAGAGAUCCCACGAUCACGAGACGGUUGUGGCGUGGGUGACAGAAAAGUUACCGCAGGGAUAACUGGCUUGUGGCACCCGAGCGCAGAAAGCGACGGUGCUUUUUGAUUCUUCGAUGUCGGCUCUUCCUAUCAUGGCCAUGCAGGAGUGGCGAAGUGUUGGAUUGUUCACCCACAAACAGGGAACGUGAGCUGGGUUUAGACCGUCGUGAGACAGGUUAGUUUUAUCCUACUGACUGGCGUGGAAGGGCAGAGGGUUGUAGUACGAAAGGAAGGCCCC
rnacentral:rRNA from 1 species